rnacentral:rRNA from 1 species
CGGUAACAGGAAGCAGCUUGCUGCUUUGCUGACGAGUGGCGGACGGGUGAGUAAUGUCUGGGAAACUGCCUGAUGGAGGGGGAUAACUACUGGAAACGGUAGCUAAUACCGCAUAACGUCGCAAGACCAAAGAGGGGGACCUUCGGGCCUCUUGCCAUCGGAUGUGCCCAGAUGGGAUUAGCUAGUAGGUGGGGUAACGGCUCACCUAGGCGACGAUCCCUAGCUGGUCUGAGAGGAUGACCAGCCACACUGGAACUGAGACACGGUCCAGACUCCUACGGGAGGCAGCAGUGGGGAAUAUUGCACAAUGGGCGCAAGCCUGAUGCAGCCAUGCCGCGUGUAUGAAGAAGGCCUUCGGGUUGUAAAGUACUUUCAGCGGGGAGGAAGGGAGUAAAGUUAAUACCUUUGCUCAUUGACGUUACCCGCAGAAGAAGCACCGGCUAACUCCGUGCCAGCAGCCGCG